rnacentral:rRNA from 1 species
UAGGGAAUCUUCCGCAAUGGACGCAAGUCUGACGGAGCAACGCCGCGUGAGUGAAGAAGGAUUUCGGUUCGUAAAACUCUGUUGUUAGAGAAGAACAGCGCAUAGAGUAACUGUUAUGCGUGUGACGGUAUCUAACCAGAAAGCCACGGCUAACUACGUGCCAGCAGCCGCGGUAAUACGUAGGUGGCAAGCGUUGUCCGGAUUUAUUGGGCGUAAAGCGAGCGCAGGCGGUCAAUUAAGUCUGAUGUGAAAGCCCCCGGCUCAACCGGGGAGGGUCAUUGGAAACUGGUUGACUUGAGUGCAGAAGAGGAGAGUGGAAUUCCAUGUGUAGCGGUGAAAUGCGUAGAUAUAUAGAGGAACACCAGUGGCGAAGGCGACUCUCUGGUCUGUAACUGACGCGGAGGUUCGAAAGCGUGGGUAGCAAACAGG